GACGAACGCUGGCGGCGUGCCUAAUACAUGCAAGUUGAGCGCUGAAGGUUGGUACUUGUACCAACUGGAUGAGCAGCGAACGGGUGAGUAACGCGUGGGGAAUCUGCCUUUGAGCGGGGGACAACAUUUGGAAACGAAUGCUAAUACCGCAUAAAAACUUUAAACACAAGUUUUAAGUUUGAAAGAUGCAAUUGCAUCACUCAAAGAUGAUCCCGCGUUGUAUUAGCUAGUUGGUGAGGUAAAGGCUCACCAAGGCGAUGAUACAUAGCCGACCUGAGAGGGUGAUCGGCCACAUUGGGACUGAGACGCGGCCCAACCUCCUACGGGAGGCAGCAGUAGGGAAUCUUCGGCAAUAGACGAAAGUCUGACCGAGCAACGCCGCGUGAGUGAAGAAGGUUUUCGGAUCGUAAAACUCUGUUGGUAGAGAAGAACGUUGGUGAGAGUGGAAAGCUCAUCAAGUGACGGUAACUACCCAGAAAGGGACGGCUAACUACGUG
rnacentral:rRNA from 1 species